AACGAACGCUGGCGGCAGGCUUAAUACAUGCAAGUCGAGGGGUAGCAAGAUUGUAGCAAUACAAUUGUUGACGACCGGCAAACGGGUGCGGAACACGUACACAACCUUCCUACAAGUGGGGAAUAGCCCAGAGAAAUUUGGAUUAAUACCCCGUAACAUAGCGAUGUGGCAUCACAUUGCUAUUAUAGCUUCGGCGCUUGUUGAUGGGUGUGCGGCUGAUUAGAUAGUUGGCGGGGUAACGGCUCACCAAGUCUACGAUCAGUAGCUGAUGUGAGAGCAUGAUCAGCCACACGGGAACUGGGACACGGGCCCGACUCGUACGGGAGGCAGAAGUAAGGAAUAUUGGACAAUGGACGCAAGUCUGAUCCAGCCAUGCCGCGUGAAGGAUUAAGGUCCUCUGGAUUGUAAACUUCUUUUAUAAGGGACGAAAAAAGGUCUUUCUAGAUCGUCUGACGGUACCUUAUGAAUAAGCACCGGCUAACUCCGUGCCAGCCGCCGCGGUAAGAC
rnacentral:rRNA from 1 species